rnacentral:misc_RNA from 1 species
GAUGAAGAACGUAGCGAAAUGCGAUAAGUAAUGUGAAUUGCAGAAUCCAGUGAAUCAUCGAAUCUUUGAACGCACAUUGCGCCCCCUGGUAUUCCGGGGGGCAUGCCUGUCCGAGCGUCAUUGCUGCCCUCAAGCCCGGCUUGUGUGUUGGGUCUCGUCCCCCUUCCCGGGGGGACGGGCCCGAAAGGCAGCGGCGGCACCGCGUCCGGUCCUCGAGCGUAUGGGGCUUUGUCACCCGCUCUGUAGGCCCGGCCGGCGCUUGCCGAUCAACCAAAACUUUUUUCCAGGUUGACCUCGGAUCAGGUAGGGAUACCCGCUGAACUUAAGCAUAUCAAUAAGCGGAGGA